GCCCAGCUAGCUCAAUGGUAGAGCACUGGACUUCUAUUUUCAAACGGUAUCCAGAGGCUGUGGGUUCGAGCCCCACGUUGGGCU
rnacentral:tRNA from 1 species